GUUGAUCCCGUGUUGAUCCCGUGUUCUUCUCAUGUUAAUCCCAUGUUGGUUCACCGUUGUGCCUUCUCCAUCCAUGUUGAUCCCAUGUUAAUCCCAUGAUGAUCCCGUGUUCAUCCCAUGUUAAUCCCAUGUUGAUUCACCGUUGUGCCUGUCUCCAUCCAUGUUGAUCCCAUGUUAAUCCCAUGAUGAUCCCGUGUUCAUCUCAUGUUAAUCCCAUGUUGAUUCACCACUGUGCCUGUCUCCGUCCCAUGUUAAUGCAUGUUAAUCCCAUGAUGAUCCCGUGUUCAUCCCAUGUUAAUCCCAUGUAGAUCCCGUGUUAAUCCCAUGUUAACCCCAUGUUAAUUCCCUGUUGUGCCUGCCUCCAUCCCAUGUUAACACCGUGUUGGCUGCCUGACGGUCACGUGACCCUCCCAUGUUCAUCCCAUGUUCACAG
rnacentral:lncRNA from 1 species